GUGAGAGGCCUUCGGGUUGUAAAGCUCUUUCGUGAGGGAAGAAAAGGUUUGGGUUAAUAACCUGAAUUGCUGACGGUACCUCAAGAAGAAGCACCGGCUAACUACGUGCCAGCAGCCGCGGU
rnacentral:rRNA from 1 species